rnacentral:lncRNA from 1 species
CUCUUCUAAAAGGAUAGUUGAUCUUAAAGACUGAAAGCCUCAACAGCCCCAGCUGGUGAAAAAGAGGGAUCUAGUUAUGGGUACACAUUUAUAUUCUCAAUGAGUCCAGUUUCAUGUUUUGCAAUAGUUUGGCAAGUAAGGUCAAUAGUUCGGUAACAAGGUCAAUAGUUCGGUAGUAAGGUCAAUAGUUCGGUAGUAAGGUCAAUAGUUCGGUAGCAAGGUCAAUAGUUUGGUAGUAAGGUCAAUAGUUUGGUAGCAAGGUCAAUAGUUUGGUAGCAAGGUCAAUAGUUUGGUAGCAAGGUCAAUAGUUCGGUAGCAAGGUCAAUAGUUUGGUAGUAAGGUCAGUAGUUUGGUAGCAAGGUCAAUAGUUCGGUAGUAAGGUCAAUAGUUUGGUAGUAAGAUCAAUAGUUUGGUAGCAAGGUCAACAGUUUGGUAGCAAGGUCAAUAGUUCGGUAGUAAGGUCAAUAGUUUGGUAGUAAGGUCAAUAGUUUGGUAGUAAGGUCAAUAGUUUGGUAGUAAGGUCAAUAGUUCGGUAGCAAGGUCAAUAGUUUGGUAGCAUGGUCAAUAGUUCUGUAGUAAGGUCAAUAGUUUGGUAGGUAAGGUCAAUAGUUUGGUAGGUAAGGUGAAUAGUUAGGGAGUAAGGUCAAUAGUUUGGUAGUAAGGUCAAUAGUUCUGUAGUAAGGUCAAUAGUUUGGUAGGUAAGGUCAAUAGUUUGGUAGUCAGGUCAAUAGUUCUGUAGUAAGGUCAAUAGUUCUGUAGUAAGGUCAAUAGUUUGGUAGUAAGGUCAAUAGUUU